rnacentral:ncRNA from 1 species
AACAACCGCUUACACUUAACCAAACAAAUAAUUAUAACUAUAUACUAGUACCUUAUUAUAUAUUUUGUUAACCCAACCCAGGUGUGCAUGUAAAGGAAAGAUUAAAAGGAAUAAAAGGAACUCGGCAAAUAUGAACCCCGCCUGUUUACCAAAAACAUCACCUCUAGCAUUUACCAGUAUUAGAGGCAUUGCCUGCCCGGUGAGUUAUGACUUUAAUGGCCGCGGUAUCCUGACCGUGCAAAGGUAGCAUAAUCACGUGUCUCUUAAUUGGAGACUAGUAUGAAUGGCACCACGAGGGUUCAACUGUCUCUUAUUCCUAAUCAGUGAAAUUGACCUUCUUGUGCAGAGGCGGGA